GUCGUGGCACGUACUAGAUAGAUAGGGCGUAAGCGCUCAAAAGAAACGCGCGCACGCGGACGAGGAGAGGACCAUAAAAGGUCGAGGAGUGAGUGGAGAUCUCGCCAUCCAUUUCCAUCCGACUAUCCGAGGAGGAUCGGUGACGGUGGGCGGCGCGUCAGCUUCCCCCGACGCGUGCGUGCGUGCGGCCGUGCGCCCGCGCGUUCGCCGUCUGCCCGUCUCCGGCCGUCGUCGUCCGGCGGAAGAUUCGCACGCACGCCAUGCCGUUCGGUUGAAUUUCUCGGGAAGGAGAAGCUGCCCGUUCGAUGUCGACGUCGGCGUCGACGCCGGGGAGAGGGCAUCGGAUAUGGAUUCGGGCGCACGCGCAUCCCGACGUGUGGUGGCUUCGUUCGUCUCCAAGCCCGAGUCAGCGGGAGAUUCCAUCUUCAAACAUUGCAUUGCACAGCGCGCACUACGCUAGGAACCUUCAAAAGUGCGAACAUUGCGGAAAUAUAGUUCCGAGGAAGCUUGUGGAUCAACACUACGAUGAAAACCAUGCUCCGGCAUCUUUGUUUCCAAACUCCAAGCUUCUCUUAGAUGCUGUCAAUUCAUAAUUGUAGUAUUGUUCAAGUCAAGCGUUACAUUGAGAUGUUGUUUGAUUUACAUAUUUUGUAAUGUGAUGGGUAAUUGAUAACAUGUCAAAUUGUAAUUGUAUACCAUACUAGGAAUUGAUACUAGCAUAUUCAAACUUGUUACCACUAA